rnacentral:misc_RNA from 1 species
GAUGAAGAACGUAGCGAAAUGCGAUAAGUAAUGUGAAUUGCAGAAUUCAGUGAAUCAUCGAAUCUUUGAACGCACCUUGCGCUCCUUGGUAUUCCAAGGAGCAUGCCUGUUUGAGUAUCAUUAAAUUAUCAACUGUGCCAAUUUGGUUACAGAUUGGAUGUGGGAGAUUCUUUUUGCAGGCCUUUGACUUCUCUUUGAGAAAAAAAUAAAAGGUCGGCUCUCCUGAAAUGUAUUAGCAGUGCCUUUGUUGGUUCAUUAGGUGUGAUAAAUUGUCUACAUCUUCACAUGAUACCUUCAUUUGUAAAGGUUAUAUUGAUUCUAAAUUGUCUUUGAUUGGACGCAAAACAUAUAUAAUGUUUGACAAACUUGAUCUCAAAUCAGGCAGGACUACCCGCUGAACUUAAGCAUAUCAAUAAGCGGAGGA